CUCUCUUUUCCUCUCUGUCUCUCUGGUCAAAUUUAAGAAAAAUACAUACAUACAUACAUACAUACAUACAUACUCUAAACUGGAGAUAAUCCAGACAUCCACAGCUAAUAAAUGGGUAAAUAAAAUGUGGUAUAUCCAUACCAAGGUAUUCUACUUAGCGAUAGAAAGGAAUGAAGUACUAGCAUUGUGACUUAGCCACUGCUUAGAAACAUGCUAAGGGGGCCCACCCAUGGCGAGCUCUGCUGCACAACAGGCUGAGUGGAGCACAUGAUCCAGAAGAACCAGUGUCUCUUCACGCACACCCAGUGUAAGAUCUGCUGCGCCUUACUCAUCUCUGAGUCCCAGAAGCUGGCACACUACCAGAGCAAAAAACAUGCCAACAAAGUGAAGAGAUACCUAGCAAUCCAUGGAAUGGAGACAUUAAAGGGGGAAACGAAGAAGCUAGACUCAGAUCAGAAGAGCAGCAGAAGCAAAGACAAGAACCAGUGCUGCCCCAUCUGUAACAUGACCUUUUCCUCCCCUGUUGUGGCUCAGUCGCACUACCUGGGGAAGACCCACGCAAAGAACUUAAAGCUGAAGCCGCACUCCACUAAGGUGGAAGCUCUGUCGAAACGCCUUACAAAUCCUUUCCUUGUGGCCUCCACCUUAGCCUUGCACCAGAAUAGAGAGAUGAUAGACCCGGACAAGUUCUGCAGCCUCUGCCACGCGACGUUCAACGACCCGGUCAUGGCUCAGCAGCAUUAUGUGGGCAAGAAACACAGGAAGCAGGAGACCAAGCUCAAACUCAUGGCACGCUAUGGCCGGCUGGCGGACCCUGCUGUCGCUGACUUAGCAGCCGGGAAAGGCUACCCCUGCAAGACGUGUAAAAUAGUGUUGAACUCCAUCGAGCAGUACCAAGCUCAUAUCAGCGGCUUCAAACACAAGAACCAAUGAGGAAACAGCAGGCUGGCGGGUCUGCUCGAGUGACUGCUCAGGCUUUGGUGACUAAUGCUGUGCUGCUCAUGGAGCCGAAUGAUCGGAGGUGGUGGAAACUGUUCAAGUCACCGAAAACAGUGGCGUCGCCCUUGGGCCAGAUUCCAACACAAAGGCAACUCAUUCCGAAAGAUGCGACUACCUUGGAAAACUAGUGUCUGCCCAUACCCAGGCCUGCCGGCCUGGCCCACUGCGCCUGCCCAUCGGCAGCCAUGGCUCUGUCCUCCUGGCUUACACUGGAGACUGUGCAGGCCCGAGGCAGGAUAGGCCCACAGACAGCCUUGUGGGUGCAGACGAGCCCUGCUCUCCCCUGUGUCAUGGGCCCUGUAGGUCAAGACGACGAGGCAGGGGUCUUAUAGGGCUGUAGUUUGGAGGAUGACUUUUCCCCUGCCCGUCCCUUCCGGGCCACCUGUUCAGAGGCCCCAGUGUUUUUCUUGCCUCUAAAGGUCAGUUUGGGGCCCCUCCCAGGCUCCAGAAAUCUCUGGUGAAACCAGGAGCUUUCGUGCCGGACUUUGGCCAGCGUGGGGAGCAGGAGAUGCAAGUGGCUGCCACCUGGGAGCUGGGGCUGAUGUGACACUCCACCUCCCCACCCCAGAAAGCCCCUCGCACCACAUACCAGCCAGUUGUCCAGGUUUCUGCCAACUCUGGGUUCUCCAGACUAGUGACACAGUCCUGGCCCUGUACUGUCCCCCGUCCCUUCUCCACAGCUCCUACAUGGUGCUAAGGCCCUGCAGCAGUUGGCCGCAAGGUGGAGCUGGAGAGGCCUCAGCUCCCAGGGGGUCGUGGGAGACUCCAGCUGGGGCCUUUCACCUCCUCUGUCAGAGGCCCUCUGAGCCGGGGCCACGUGGAAAGGUCCCCACAUCGAGUUCCCCGUUGGGUACAUGCCCUAGAAGGAAGCCUGCCUCAUGGCAGCCCUUCAGCCCUUCUGGCCCUCUGCUUCCUCCCAUGCAGCAGCCCACCCUGCCCAGGCUGCUGUGGUGCUACCUCCCCCAUCACCCGCUAGGACAUUUCUGGGUGGCAGAGCUGGGUGGGGCCCCAGGGAAACAGAGCUGACACGGUUGCUAGGGUGAGGACACAUGUUCCUUGGGCCCCCGACCCAGAUUUCUCAAAGUCUGCUGUGUUUUAUGGCCUGGGACUUCACUGGGAGUGGACUUUUCCUUAGAGCUUUCAUGCAAGAAUUCCAGGGAGUGUCCCCAUCAGAGGCCUCUCCACCGUGUCAGAAAUCCUGAGCUGCCGACGUGGCCUCCCACCUUCCCCCGAUCCCCGUGCCUGUGAAAUGCCUCCGUGUGUUGUGUGUGGGUGCGCGUGUGCUUAUGCUCCGCCUCGGCCGUGAGGCCUCGAAUAAAGUGUUUCUCACAGGACACUGCACUGUCACGGA